rnacentral:rRNA from 1 species
UACGGGGGGUGCGAGCGUUGUCCGGAAUCACUGGGCGUAAAGGGCGCGUAGGUGGUUUGAUAAGGGUGUGGUGAAAGCCCGGGGCUCAACCCCGGGUCUGCCGUGCCGACUGUCAAACUCGAGGGCUGUAGAGGCGGACGGAAUUCCGGGUGUAGCGGUGGAAUGCGUAGAGAUCCGGAGGAAGACCGGUGGCGAAGGCGGUCUGCUGGGCAGUUUCUGACACUGAGGCGCGACAGCGUGGGGAGCAAACAGG